UGGCUUCGGGGGCUGAGGAUUUGCCCUUGCUGUUGCUGGCAGACAUCAGACUCCAGCUUCUUCAGCUUCUCAACUUGGACUCACACCAGCAGCUCUCCAGGGACCUCCCAGCCCACCAGGCUCAGACGGGCGCCCUGUCCUGAUCUCUUGUCCUGUGGCUUCCGCCUUCCUGAGCGAAGCAGCCACUGGAUCCCCUGGCUCUCCAGUGUGCAGAUAUCCUCAGUGGCUCUCGGGUGCCAUCCUGGGAGCUACCUCCCCAGUCCCCUGCGUAAUUAGGCGGCAUGUAUAUGCUGCCUGUGGGUUCUGUUCUCCAGCACAGCCGUGAAAGUGAAGAGACCUGAAGGAGCUGAGAGGACAGAUGCCUCGUGUGGGCUGGGACCUGCACUGUCCCUUGGCUCGCUGGGCACCCAGGGACCCACGGGGACGUGGCACAUGCUGUCUACAGUCAUUGCAGGCUCUCACAGCCACGGCGCUCGGCUUGGUACCCGGCGUUUAAGCAAAGCUCCUCAGAAUGUUUAGGGAUGAAGGACACCCUGCCGGCCAGCCGCGAUCUGGUGAACAACCUGAGAUGCUAGCAGUUGGGGAGUCUGGUGAGAGACAGCCCUACAGGUGCAAGGAGCAGACCCAGCUGGGGCCCUGCAGCCAGCAGAGGGGAUGGCACCUGACUGCACCUCUCUCGGAAGUUCCGGGAGCCCAGGUCCCGUGGCAGCGAGAGUCCACUUGCCGCCUCCCCUCCCAACACCCACUAAGGUCUGCGGGUCCUUUUCGUAUCCCUGUCUCGAAGUCAGGAAGAUGAGCUCUUCAGAUCUGGUGCGGUGUUGGCGGGUCACAUGCCCCCAAGCCACAGAGCCCAAACCCAACCCAGGACCCAGAACUGAUCAGGACCUGCAAGGCCAGCACCUUGCAGCAGGAGGUGCUGGAGUCCCCUGGAGUCAAUGGAAGUCUGGCCAGGGGCCCAGGGUUCCUGAGACAGGCACAAAACCCCUGUGGAAGGGGACUCAUGCCACCUGAGGGCAGUCACUGGGCUGCUGAGACGGGCGCUUCCCAUCAGCUCAUGACCAGAGUGACACUGGCACCUCUGUGCUCAGCUGGGUCUCGGAAUUACAGAGCAGGCCGGAGCCAGACAGGCGGGGUGAAUCUCGCUCGGCUGGGCCCGAGGUCCCCCGUGGGUCCUGUUCUGCGGGAUUCAGUACUAGGUUCACUGGCUCUGGACCUGGGGGUGGCAGGAACACCAGCCUGGCCACUUUUCCCUGUGUAGUGCCAGGUUCUACUUGGCAGAAGGAAGAAUGUGCCCAGGAUCUGGGGACAGAUGUGGAACAGCCACCAUCGCCCCUGGAGGUCCUCAAGGGUCCUAGUUCGAGGUGGGCAGGGGACCGACAACUUGGCUGUGCCCCUGCCCGCCAGCCUCUCUGACCGCCAGUGGCCCCAGACCAUCCGCUGUGGAAGCAGCUGUCCCCCAGACCUGACACAGCCACCGCCUGCCCCCAGGUGCCAGCCCCUGCCCUACCCUCUGGUCACCACCUGGAGGGCAUGGCCCGAGGUCUCAUCCCUGCAGAUACUGCCAUCCCAUGCUGCCUGGCCAGCUGCCCAGCUAACAUUACCUGGCGGGGGCGGGAGUGGAAGGGCUGGGCUCUGGGGCUCCAGGGCUGAUUGUCACCGAAGUCCACUGCUCUGCCUCUGGGCUGCCGCGCCUCUGUGGUUUUGCUGUAUGUCAGCGUGCGGUUUCCCAGGGUGCUUUGUGUCUUGCUAUCGAGGUCAUUUACGGGCACAGCGCUAACCGCGUCCCCAGAGCAGAUGCAGAAGCCACAGAAAAGGGCUUUGCUGGGCGGAUGUGGUGGGCCUGCUGGGCCCCUGGAUUUGGGGGAGCCAGGAGCGGGGUGGGCACCCCAUCCCCAUGUGACCUGCCAGCCCAGGGGGGGCUCAACAUAGUGUCCCCUUGUAGAUGAAGGCACAUGCAUCCGGGGCCAGCUCCGGGGAGCCGGGGGAGGUGGGCGGCAGCAUAGGACAGCAGAGCGCCCCACCCCGUACGGUUUAAUAGGCCCUUAUCUCAGGGACAUUGCCCAGAGCCGGGCGGGCCUCGUAAACCAAGGGCCUGUUUUAUGUGCUUUCCCACCAGAUGCUGGGGGACCCUGAGAAAGACUCUCUAAGGAGAUUAGAUGGGCUGGGAAGAGGGCUCAGCCUGGGCUUCUCCCUGGGGGCUCAGCCUGGGCUCCCACCCCAUUUCCUCCCUGGCCUCAGCACCCCACUCCUGUUGGGGAGCUCGCCGUGGGGCUGCACGCUGCUCUCUGGUGAGGCCACUGCAGCAGGCCAGAACACUGUGCAGGAAGAGAUGCCAAAUAAUGUUGCACAUUGUCUACUUGUACAUAACUUUAUGUUAGGGUAUACAAGUUAUCAGGCAGUACAUCCAUACGGUAUCUGUGCCAUAAAUGCAUUAUAAAGUAACCAGGAUGAGCCAGGAUGCCUGUGGAUAACUGAUUCUAAACAUUCACAGCCGUGCUCCUGUCUUAGUCUUCCGUCUCGAGGCAGGCUAAUCUCUCAAGAGGGGCGCUGCUGUCGGAGGCAGGGGUCCAGCACGCAGUGUAGGCACCCGGGUACCUCGGUGCUGUCCGGCCGGGGUGGAGAGGACCAGCUCGCUGUCAUCAGGGGACAGGGAAGCCACUCCCUGGGCACAGUGUGGAUCCCUGAGAGGGCAGAGGUGAAAAACACCAUCUCUCCUGGGCCCUGGGACCAGCCCUGUGUUGUUGGGGACCACGC